GAUGAGCGCUGGCGGCGUGCCUAAUACAUGCAAGUCGAGCGAACAGAUGAGGAGCUUGCUCCUCUGACGUUAGCGGCGGACGGGUGAGUAACACGUGGAUAACCUACCUACAAGACUGGGAUAACUUCGGGAAACCGGAGCUAAUACCGGAUAAUAUAUUGAACCGCAUGGUUCAAUAGUGAAAGACGGUUUUGCUGUCACUUAUAGAUGGAUCCGCGCCGCAUUAGCUAGUUGGUAAGGUAACGGCUUACCAAGGCAACGAUGCGUAGCCGACCUGAGAGGGUGAUCGGCCACACUGGAACUGAGACACGGUCCAGACUCCUACGGGAGGCAGCAGUAGGGAAUCUUCCGCAAUGGGCGAAAGCCUGACGGAGCAACGCCGCGUGAGUGAUGAAGGUCUUCGGAUCGUAAAACUCUGUUAUUAGGGAAGAACAAAUGUGUAAGUAACUAUGCACGUCUUGACGGUACCUAAUCAGAAAGCCACGGCUAACUACGUG
rnacentral:rRNA from 1 species